UUUUGUGGUUCACAGAGUUCAUAGCUGGACGAUACUGUUGAUGGCUUUUCUCCCCAGUAGUCUGCCAAGCAUCUUCUUACACUAUGAAAGCUAGCCAGAAUGGAAGAAUUUACCAGAUGUGUACACCACAAGAGGAAAUUUAUGAUUAUAGAUGUGUACACCACAAGAAGCAGAGUGUGAUGGAGAACUCCUGCAAUCAUGUCAUUUGAAGCAGAAGCAGAGAUGCAGAGACUUCCAGACUAUCAUGAGCUACAUGGUGGAGAAAUGAAGUUGAACAGUUAUUGUAUGCGGUGAAAGACAUGUUCCCAGUAAAUAAAACUGCAGUAGAAGAGGAGCGGUACAGCAAAUGCAUUAUUUACUUCAUGGAGUUUUCAAAAAUAGCACAUAAAACUUGCCUAGUCAGAAAUAUGUGUAUAAAAAUAGAAUAAAAUAUAAUCCCCUACUUCUACUAUGGUGGUUAUGUUUAUGAAGCAACAAAGAAGGUAAUGUGAAAAGUCAUUUAUUAGACUUAUGUUACCUAUUGUUCUUUUCUUUCCUCAGAAAUUUCUGAAGAAAAUAUUUUGGAAAGAAAAUAAAUCUCUUUCCUGCCAAUGCAUUUUCACUGUACACAGCUACACAUGCAUAAGAAGAACACUGCCUGGGGUUGAAAACACCUGCUUAUAAUAGGUCUCCCUGCAACUGUGUUCUAAACAUGUAGUUAAACAAACAUGCUAAGCAAAUCUUGUCAUGAAGAAUUCUGAAAAAAUAAAACUUUAACUUAAAAUAUGUGCAGAUUUGUAAUUUUCCAGGGGGACUUGUCUCAUUUUAAGAUGUUU